CAUAGAUUGCUAAACGCAAAUCAAUACGCAAUACCUGAGAAAUGCAGUUGCACCUCAUUAAAGGAUUCAUGAGGAACCCAGCCCUGCUCCAUAUCAAACCUGUGAACAUUCACACUGAAGACUACAAAUCCGUGUUUAAAUGCCUUAGUAAAUUUAGUCCCACAUGGCUUGUGACCAUGACUCGCUCAACACUGUAUUUCAGACUGCAUGAUUUGACUCUGUAACUGGUUUUAGACAAGGGGGUGUGUUGGAAUCACCUUGUCUUAUGAGAUGGAAUCUGCUACUGUUCCAAAUAUGAAGCAAACCAUAAUAGCUGCUACUGUGCCAAAAGGAUGAAUAAAGCAUCAGACAAGGCUUUUAACC